rnacentral:rRNA from 1 species
GAGUAACCUGCCCUUAACUCUGGGAUAAGCCUGGGAAACUGGGUCUAAUACCGGAUAGGAGCGUCCACCGCAUGGUGGGUGUUGGAAAGAUUUAUCGGUUUUGGAUGGACUCGCGGCCUAUCAGCUUGUUGGUGAGGUAAUGGCUCACCAAGGCGACGACGGGUAGCCGGCCUGAGAGGGUGACCGGCCACACUGGGACUGAGACACGGCCCAGACUCCUACGGGAGGCAGCAGUGGGGAAUAUUGCACAAUGGGCGAAAGCCUGAUGCAGCGACGCCGCGUGAGGGAUGACGGCCUUCGGGUUGUAAACCUCUUUCAGUAGGGAAGAAGCGAAAGUGACGGUACCUGCAGAAGAAGCACCGGCUAACUACGUGCCAGCAGCCGCGGUAAUACGUAGGGUGCGAGCGUUAUCCGGAAUUAUUGGGCGUAAAGAGCUCGUAGGCGGUUUGUCGCGUCUGUCGUGAAAGUCCGGGGCUUAACCCCGGAUCUGCGGUGGGUACGGGCAGACUAGAGUGCAGUAGGGGAGACUGGAAU